ensembl:lncRNA
AGAUCGCCAAUGUGAAAAUGCUCGGAGCAGCCACCUGGCAGCCCCGGGGAUGGAUCUAGCCAGGACAGGAGAUGUUUUGAUAGUCCACAGGGACUUAAAAAAAGAAGCUUCUCCCAGGACUGCAAUCUGUGGUUUGAUAAGGUUGCUUCUUGCCGCUAUGGAAACCCAACCGCCAAGUUCUGCACUCCCUGUACAUAUGGAAGAGAGGCCCCUUGAUCUGUAAUACAGCACAGCUCUGUCAUCGUGGCUGAAGAUUCCAGGGAAAGGGAUCUGACCUGAAGGAAAGGAGCUGUGGACUGCUUGGUGGCUAUGGGAUGUCCUGAUAUGACAACACUGCUUUGUACAGACCUGCUGGAUGAGAUGCUAACAAACCCAAACAGGUAUGAUCAUCCCUGAAGCACUUUCCUCACCUCCAUCCUGUGGCUCUGCAACUGGAGGACUGGCCAAUCAGAGCAUCCCGUUCUCCUCGCUGCAGGGACCCGUGUGAGCAUGGGCCUGCAAGUCAAACCAGGUCAGUGAGGCCAAUGGCACUGGCUCCCAGAAGCAAUACUAAAACUGCAAAGAGUUCUCUUUGCUGCAGUUGUGAAGUCAACCUUGCCAGGAGCCACCCUAUGGAGAAAGUCAGCCCUGAUGUGAAAUCAGCCAAGGGGUCGAUGGUAGGGAAGCCUGGGCCACAGAAGUGAGGCCCACCGCUCUCUGCCACAGAUGGGGUGUUCACAGGGUGCUGAUGGCUUGGCACCUGCUUCCGGGGACAAUGGCAUAGCUGGGCUCUGCUUGGAAGGACCAGCCUGCGUCCUGUCUAGCGUGCACUAUAUGAAGCUGACACCAUGCUUGCUGAAAGAAAAAAGCUGGGAACGCAGUGGCUUCUUAGCGGGCGAUAGUUAUUAUUACCAGGACGUGACACAGCCCUUAUCUCCAGUGGAGUCCCCUAACUCUCAGGGCAAAGUCACAGAUUUUCAGAAGGACCCUCAAAAGCCCUUUAGGAAGCUGCCACACUGGAAGGCGUUUCUCCCAGGUCCAGUACAUCAGAUUCUCCUCGAUUCUGGACAGAUCUCUGCUUCCUCAGCAUUUACCUGUGAGCACUUGUGGGGAGUCCAUCUGUUUAAAUGCCAGAGUGACAGAGAUCAGAUCACCAAGGCAUGUGGCAGCUGAGACCCCCGAGAGGACAGACUUCUGCUGCCCAUUUCAGCCUCACUGAGUGGACAGACAGACAACACUGCUUGCAGUGUCAUACUGAUAUUCUGCGCUCCCCCACACCACUUUUUUUUUUCCUUUUUGACCUUUAUUGUCAAAUUCACUAAGGCACAUAGGCACAAUUACACUACAAUAUUACAGUCUGUUUGCAGCUAAGUUAUCACCAUCAAAUCACAUACUACGUGGAUCAGCACCCAAAUGUGAACUGCCAGGUCCAUCUAGCUGGAAAAUACUUUGACAUUUGGAUUAUCUUUUCCCCAACACAUGACUAAAGCUGAAGAGGGCAUAUUUGGAAAGCAAAUUUUGUGGUAAUUCUAAGAUAGCUCUUGAAAAAGCAUAUGAGGACAC